GAAUCGCAUGGCCUUGUGCUGGCGGUGCUUCAUUCAAAUAUCUGCCCUAUCAACUGUCGAUGGUAGGAUAGAGGCCUACCAUGGUUGCAACGGGUAACGGGGAAUAAGGGUUCGAUUCCGGAGAGGGAGCCUGAGAAACGGCUACCACAUCAAGGAAGGCAGCAGGCGCGCAAAUUACCCAAUCCCAACACGGGGAGGUAGUGACAAUAUGUAACAAUAUACGGCCUUAUACGUCGUAUAAUUGGAAUGAGUACAAUUUAAAUCCCUUAACGAGGAACAAUUGGAGGGCAAGUCUGGUGCCAGCAGCCGCGGUAAUUCCAGCUCCAAUAGCGUAUAUUAAAGUUGUUGCAGUUAAAAAGCUCGUAGUUGGACCUUGGACCUGGACAGGCGGUCCGCCUCACGGCGAGUACUGUCUUGCUGGGUCUUUCCUCUUGGUGAUCUGUUGUUUCGGCAGCAGGGAACCAGGACCUUUACUUUGAAAAAAUUAGAGUGUUCAAAGCAGGCUCGACGCCGGAAUAUAUUAGCAUGGAAUAAUAAAAUAGGACGUGCGGUUCUAUUUUGUUGGUUUUUGGAAUCGCCGUAAUGAUUAAUAGGGACAGUCGGGGGCAUUAGUACUCACAUGCUAGAGGUGAAAUUCUUGGAUUUUGUGAAGACUAACUUCUGCGAAAGCAUUUGCCAAGGAUGUUUUCAUUAAUCAAGAACGAAGGUUAGGGUAUCGAAAACGAUUAGAUACCCGUUGUAGUCUUAACAGUAAACUAUGCCGACUAGGGAUCGGUCGAUGUUAUCUUUUUGACUCGAUCGGCACCUUACG
rnacentral:rRNA from 1 species